CGCAUCUGUGCAUGCAGCAUAUCAAUAAGCGGAGGAAAAGAAACUAACAAGGAUUCCCCUAGUAACGGCGAGUGAAGCGGGAAGAGCUCAAAUUUGAAAUCUUAAAGGGUUUCCCUUUACGAAUUGUAGUUUAAAGAAGUGUUUUCUGUUGAGGUUUUGGUAAAAGUUCUUUGGAAUAGGACAUCAUAGAGGGUGAGAAUCCCGUAUUUGACCUUUACUUUCAACUUUGUGAUACACUUUCAAAGAGUCGGAUUGUUUGGGAAUGCAGUCCAAAAUGGGUGGUAAAUUUCAUCUAAAGCUAAAUAUUGGCGAGAGACCGAUAGCGAACAAGUACCGUGAGGGAAGGAUGAAAAGAACUUUGAAAAGAGAGUUAAACAGUACGUGAAAUUGUCAAAAGGGAAGCGUUUGACACCAGUGUUGUUUUUCUGAAAAUCAAUUAAAGAACUGUUUAUGCUAAGCUGUUUAGACUUUAUCAGCUAUCUGUUUAGUUUUGAGCUUUUCUUUAAUGCACUUUUCAGUUAACAAGUCAACAUCAAUUUCUUUUGCUGUAAAAAAGCUUGAGGAAGGUGGCUUGAGAUUCGUCUUAAGUGUUUAUAGCCUCUUGCCUAUGCAGUCGGAGAGAUUGAGGUCUGCAGCGUAGAUCCUUCGGGGCUAAAUGCAUUUGUGCUAAGUUAUAGCAUUUUAUAGACAACUUGUUGACUAUGAUUUGUCUUGUAGCUUACUCGCUUAUGUUAUUUUACCUACGCUUAGGAUGUUGAGUCGUAGAGCACGCAG
rnacentral:rRNA from 1 species